GACGAACGCUGGCGGCGUGCUUAACACAUGCAAGUCGAGCGAUGAAGUUCCUUCGGGAAUGGAUUAGCGGCGGACGGGUGAGUAACACGUGGGUAACCUGCCUCAUAGAGGGAAAUAGCCUUUCGAAAGGAAGAUUAAUACCGCAUAAGAUUGUAGUAUCGCAUGAUACAGCAAUUAAAGGAGUAAUCCGCUAUGAGAUGGACCCGCGUCGCAUUAGCUAGUUGGUGAGGUAACGGCUCACCAAGGCGACGAUGCGUAGCCGACCUGAGAGGGUGAUCGGCCACGUUGGGACUGAGACACGGCCCAGACUCCUACGGGAGGCAGCAGUGGGGAAUAUUGCACAAUGGGGGAAACCCUGAUGCAGCAACGCCGCGUGAGUGAUGACGGUCUUCGGAUUGUAAAGCUCUGUCUUCAGGGACGAUAAUGACGGUACCUGAGGAGGAAGCCACGGCUAACUACGUGCCAGCAGCCGCGGUAAAAC
rnacentral:rRNA from 1 species